rnacentral:rRNA from 1 species
GACGAACGCUGGCGGCGUGCUUAACACAUGCAAGUCGAACGGAAAGGCCCUGCUUUUGUGGGGUGCUCGAGUGGCGAACGGGUGAGUAACACGUGAGUAACCUGCCCUUGACUUUGGGAUAACUUCAGGAAACUGGGGCUAAUACCGGAUAGGAGCUCCUGCUGCAUGGUGGGGGUUGGAAAGUUUCGGCGGUUGGGGAUGGACUCGCGGCUUAUCAGCUUGUUGGUGGGGUAGUGGCUUACCAAGGCUUUGACGGGUAGCCGGCCUGAGAGGGUGACCGGCCACAUUGGGACUGAGAUACGGCCCAGACUCCUACGGGAGGCAGCAGUGGGGAAUAUUGCACAAUGGGCGGAAGCCUGAUGCAGCAACGCCGCGUGCGGGAUGACGGCCUUCGGGUUGUAAACCGCUUUCGCCUGUGACGAAGCGUGAGUGACGGUAAUGGGUAAAGAAGCACCGGCUAACUACGUGCCAGCAGCCGCGGUGAUACGUAGGGUGCGAGCGUUGUCCGGAUUUAUUGGGCGUAAAGGGCUCGUAGGUGGUUGAUCGCGUCGGAAGUGUAAUCUUGGGGCUUAACCCUGAGCGUGCUUUCGAUACGGGUUGACUUGAGGAAUGUAGGGGAGAAUGGAAUUCCUGGUGGAGCGGUGGAAUGCGCAGAUAUCAGGAGGAACACCAGUGGCGAAGGCGGUUCUCUGGGCCUUUCCUGACGCGGAGGAGCGAAAGCGUGGGGAGCGAACAGGCUUAGAUACCCUGGUAGUCCACGCUGUAAACGGUGGGUACUAGGUGUGGGGUCCAUUCCACGGGUUCCGUGCCGUAGCUAACGCUUUAAGUACCCCGCCUGGGGAGUACGGCCGCAAGGCUAAAACUCAAAGGAAUUGACGGGGCCCCGCACAAGCGGCGGAGCAUGCGGAUUAAUUCGAUGCAACGCGUAGAACCUUACCUGGGUUUGACAUGGAUCGGGAGUGCUCAGAGAUGGGUGUGCCUCUUUUGGGGUCGGUUCACAGGUGGUGCAUGGCUGUCGUCAGCUCGUGUCGUGAGAUGUUGGGUUAAGUCCCGCAACGAGCGCAACCCUUGUUCACUGUUGCCAGCACGUUAUGGUGGGGACUCAGUGGAGACCGCCGGGGUCAACUCGGAGGAAGGUGGGGAUGACGUCAAGUCAUCAUGCCCCUUAUGUCCAGGGCUUCACGCAUGCUACAAUGGCUGGUACAGAGAGUGGCGAGCCUGUGAGGGUGAGCGAAUCUCGGAAAGCCGGUCUCAGUUCGGAUUGGGGUCUGCAACUCGACCUCAUGAAGUCGGAGUCGCUAGUAAUCGCAGAUCAGCAACGCUGCGGUGAAUACGUUCCCGGG